ACGAACGCUGGCGGCGUGCUUCACACCUGCAGGUCGAACGGUGAAGCGCCUUCCUUUUUGGUGGGUGUGGAUGAGUGGCGAACGGGUGAGUAACACGUGAGUAACCUGCCCCCUUCUUCUGGAUAACCGCAUGAAAGUGUGGCUAAUACGGGAUAUUCUGGGUCUGUCGCAUGAUGGGUCUGGGAAAGAUAUUGUUUCGGUGGGGGAUGGGCUCGCGGCCUAUCAGCUUGUUGGUGGGGUGAUGGCCUACCAAGGCGGUGACGGGUAGCCGGCCUGAGAGGGUGGACGGUCACACUGGGACUGAGACACGGCCCAGACUCCUACGGGAGGCAGCAGUGGGGAAUAUUGCACAAUGGGCGCAAGCCUGAUGCAGCGACGCCGCGUGAGGGAUGGAGGCCUUCGGGUUGUGAACCUCUUUCGCCAGUGAAGCAGGCCUGCCUCGUUUGUGGGUGGGUUGACGGUAGCUGGAUAAGAAGCGCCGGCUAACUACGUG
rnacentral:rRNA from 1 species